rnacentral:lncRNA from 1 species
CCCCUACCCUCCACCUCGGCCCCUGUAAAUAUAACUGGACACUUCAUAUUUAAAAGGCCUCUCUCAACAAAUCAUGUUCACGACAGCUUUCGUGUGCGCCGUGGGAGCAACAUCUGAAAACCGUGACACGUCUGAGGCGAGGCGAAAGGCUUGACUGACAGAAUAAUUCUCCAUUAAUAGAGCGGGUCACUCAAACAUCCUUUAUUCCUCAUGGCCUCACAUGACAAUCACAGUGAGAUAAAGACACACAGCAGCAGUGGAAGUUCUAACUGCAGAAAAACAAACUAAAAUAUCCAAAAUGUCACACAUCGGGGUUGAAUUGCUAAAAAAACACGCCAAAGUGAGGAACAACUCUUUUAGAGGUGGUAACAAUUACCGUAGGGAGAGGAUUAAAUUAACGUUUGCAGGACUUAACACUCCCUUUUUUAACAAGGAGCACAUGUGCUCAGAAGUUGAAAAAGUAAGGAGCACUCGAAGGACUUUAGGGACACAAUGAAAAUUGAUCAAAUACUCUAUUUUUCGCACUAAAAGGUGCACUUAAAAUCCUUUUGGCUUGUCGGAGCACUGCGGAGUUAUUGAAUGAGUUAAAUAAAGUUUGACUUAUCUGACUGUUUUGUUUGGCUUAAUGCGCUUUAUAAUCCGGUGCGCCUUAUGUAUGAGAACAGACGCGUUCAUUGAUGUUGCGCCUUAUAGUGCGAAAAAUACGGUAAUGUUUGUCUCAUUGGGAGACAUUGGGAGUCUUUUGGUCACAUGACAUGGAAGCUAUUGACGAAAAACAGCCUUUUUUGAGAACAUUAACCGGUAAUUUAUUGACGGUCCCUUAUUCAACACCCGACGUUGACAGUGAGGGUGACGCGUAGAUUUAACUGCGCUGCUGUUGUUAUUCCCGGUUAUGGGGAGUGAGAAGACUCUAGUAGAUUGGCAGUGAAUGAUCGUCAAAUAUCCAACCUAGAGCUGCAGCUAUCGAAUAUUUUAGUAAUCGAAUAUUCUACCGAUUACUCGAGUAAUUGGACCCAAACGGCAGACUCAGUUAGAUUUCUUAUAACCCCGCAAUGAAGGCUAGAUUCUGAGAGAUAGAGGACAAUUGCGGAACAAGCGUGUGCGUUGGCGGAUUGCAAUGCUUGUAAGAAAGCUAAUUAUGAUAUUAACUAUAAUCAUGUCCCUAAAGACAUUAGUGUCCAAGAGCUGAAUGGCUUCUGCUUCUGCUACGAGACCAGCAGAAGUUAGGCUACAAGCUAGCGUGAAGAGAAGUGUGCAGAGUCGCUAGGUUGGCAACACUACAAGAAAAGCCCGUCUCAUCAUUUAUUUUUCUGCUCCGCAAAACCUAAACAGCGCUCAAUUCUCCUUUUACCGUGGUGACGUAAGCACAUUGUGUCACCUUCAAAAGAAUCUGUGCCAAGCAGUAUAAACGAGUACUUGAGACAGAGAAAGUUCCUCGAUCAUUAUUUGUAAUCGAGGUACUUGAGGUAUCGAUGAAUUGUUUCAGCCAUAAUUCAACCUAAAACUAAUUUAAAAACACAUUUGUUGCCUCAGCUAAUUUUUCUUUUGCGCACAUGUGCCUCUAAAUACAUUUUACAAUUCGCACUCAUCUAUUUUUAGUCGUAAUUGUGAGUGAAACGGUCACACUGUGGAGCCCUGAUUUGACUCAUCAUACAGUUGGCUCACUGUGUCCUUUGGCCUGCUGUCCGUUCCCCUCUAUGCCUGUCCAGAAUCCACUUGCCCUGCAGCCUGGUCCAAAGUGUCUUUGAACAAAAUGGCUGCAUUUCCAUUACACACGCCGCGGUCCAAUUAAAUCCUAAUGUUUCUGGUUUUGUCCUGACCUCUUUUUCACCACAGAAAUUCAUCUCCGGUGAACACUCAGGACUUGUGGUGGAUUUCAAAACUCUAAAGUGUGUCAUGCCUCUAAAAAAAUGAGUGGGCAGGGAAAUAUGUAAAUCUCCAGGAUGUUGGCUGUCACUCUCUUUCUAUUGGAGGAGACGGUUACUCCAGAAAAAAGGUAAACAAAGGAGAAAAUUGCAUAGGACUCUGACUUUUAAUUGAGAAAGCUUUUCCUUUUGAUGUAGCCUGGGAGAUCUGAGAAGUGCUUUUUUGAGCUAAUUACAGAGUCAUGCCAGAGAUCUAAUUAGAGUGAUGCUAAUGAGCCUUGUUUAUUCUUAUCUGAUGUCAAAAUGAAAUUGGUUGAAAUUCAAAUAAAGGUGUCAGCAGUGGAAAUCGUGCCAAGAAGUAGGAUGGGGAGAUUAAUUCAAGUGUUGGAUGUGUAGUGUGUACUUUGCAUGUUUUCAGUAGCGACACUUUCUGCAGGGUGCUACUUUCACCACCAAAAAUGCCACCUCAGAUCUUCCACAGCUCCAACCUAAAUUUAGCAGAGUACAGUAAAUCAGCGCUGUGAUUAAUUCACUGUAUUUAAUUUGCAUGUACUUGCUUGCAUCAUGCGCAGGAGCAUUAAAUAUGAAAGCAAGUUACUCUGCGUAUCAUCUCUCCUUCCUGCCUUUGUAUCUCUGUGGAUGCAUGUAUGCGGUUGUGGUUUUAGUUUUGGAGGGUUUGAUUAAAACGCCCUCAGCAAUCUGGAAGAUGACUGCUGUGGGCACUCAAGGGGGUCUGCAGAUCAGGCAGAGACCCAACUCCCAGCCUGAUCCGGCCCCA